AGCUACUUUGCUUUGGGAGUGCCGUCUGGCCAGACUAAGGUCUGUUUUACUUUCCAACUUGUCCGGUGUGUUCCUUCCCAGGUGUUCUUCACUGCAGUCAGCUCCUCGGAGCAUUUGAUAAAUGGCAAGGAGAUUGAGCGCGUGGAUCUCAUCAGGGCCGGUAACACAGGAAGCAGGCGUGACGAAUAUGCAUGUGACGGAGUGUGGAAAUGAGAGGUGCCCCAGGGUGUGCAGCUGUGGCUCUCUGUGGGCAAGGUGAGCUCGUGGCUCUUUGGUGGAUGAGUGUUUCCUCAAGGGGAAAAGCAAAUGCAUUUGACCAUAAGUGCAAGUCAGUCAGGGCUCUCUGGGACAGCUCACCCACUUUUACA
rnacentral:lncRNA from 1 species